rnacentral:rRNA from 1 species
UCGAGAAUCAUUCGCAAUGGGGGAAACCCUGACGGUGCGACGCCGCGUGGAGGAUGAAGGCUUUCGGGUUGUAAACUCCUGUCACCAUAGAACAAAGGUGCCUAUCUAAUCACUAGGCAUUUGAUGGUAUAUGGAGAGGAAGGGACGGCUAACUCUGUGCCAGCAGCCGCGGUAAUACAGAGGUCCCGAGCGUUGUUCGGAUUCACUGGGCGUAAAGGGUGUGUAGGAGGCUUGGAAAGUCAGUUGUGAAAUCUCACUGCUCAACGGUGAAACUGCAACUGAUACUCCCAAGCUAGAGGAUCGGAGGGGCAAGCGGAAUUCCAGGUGUAGCAGUGAAAUGCGUAGAUAUCUGGAGGAACACCGGUGGCGAAGGCGGCUUGCUAGACGAUUCCUGACUCUGAAACACGAAAGCUGGGGGAGCAAACGGGAUUAGAUACCCCCGUAGUCC